AACGAACGCUGGCGGCAGGCUUAACACAUGCAAGUCGAGCGCCCCGCAAGGGGAGCGGCAGACGGGUGAGUAACGCGUGGGAACCUACCUAGCUCUACGGAAUAACCCAGGGAAACUUGGACUAAUACCGUAUACGCCCCUCGGGGGAAAGAUUUAUCGGAGUUGGAUGAGCCCGCGUUGGAUUAGCUAGUUGGUGGGGUAAUGGCCUACCAAGGCGACGAUCCAUAGCUGGUCUGAGAGGAUGAUCAGCCACACUGGGACUGAGACACGGCCCAGACUCCUACGGGAGGCAGCAGUGGGGAAUAUUGGACAAUGGGCGAAAGCCUGAUCCAGCCAUGCCGCGUGAGUGAUGAAGGCCCUAGGGUUGUAAAGCUCUUUCACCGGUGAAGAUAAUGACGGUAACCGGAGAAGAAGCCCCGGCUAACUUCGUGCCAGCAGCCGCCGUAAUAC
rnacentral:rRNA from 1 species